rnacentral:rRNA from 1 species
AGCAAUCCUGGUGGCGAGUGGCGAACGGGUGAGUAAUAUAUCGGAACGUGCCCAGUCGUGGGGGAUAACGUAGCGAAAGCUACGCUAAUACCGCAUACGAUCUGUGGAUGAAAGCGGGGGAUCGCAAGACCUCGCGCGAUUGGAGCGGCGAUAUCAGAUUAGGUAGUUGGUGAGGUAAAGGCUCACCAAGCCGACGAUCUGUAGCUGGUCUGAGAGGACGACCAGCCACACUGGGACUGAGACACGGCCCAGACUCCUACGGGAGGCAGCAGUGGGGAAUUUUGGACAAUGGGCGCAAGCCUGAUCCAGCAAUGCCGCGUGCAGGAUGAAGGCCUUCGGGUUGUAAACUGCUUUUGUACGGAACGAAACGGUGAGCUCUAAUACAGUUUGCUAAUGACGGUACCGUAAGAAUAAGCACCGGCUAACUACGUG